UACGGAAGGCAGCAGUGGGGAAUAUUGCACAAUGGGCGAAAGCCUGAUGCAGCUAUGCCGCGUGUAUGAAGAAGGCCUUAGGGUUGUAAAGUACUUUCAGUCGUGAGGAAGGUGUUAAGGUUAAUAACCUUAGCAAUUGACGUUAGCGACAGAAGAAGCACCGGCUAACUCCGUGCCAGCAGCCGCGGUAAUACGGAGGGUGCGAGCGUUAAUCGGAAUUACUGGGCGUAAAGGGCACGCAGGCGGUUAAUUAAGUUGGAUGUGAAAUCCCCGGGCUUAACCUGGGAAUGGCAUUCAAGACUGGUUAGCUAGAGUCUUGUAGAGGGGGUAGAAUUCCAUGUGUAGCGGUGAAAUGCGUAGAGAUGUGGAGGAAUACCGGUGGCGAAGGCGGCCCCGUGGACAAAGACUGACGCUCAUGUGCGAAAGCGUGGGGAGCAAACAGGGAUUAGA
rnacentral:rRNA from 1 species